rnacentral:ncRNA from 2 species
GGAAACUACUGGGGGAGCCGGUCAUCCCGGCUGAGAAAAAAGCGUACUUUUUGACCCUUGGGACCUGAUCUGGUUCAUACCAGCGUGGGAAAGUAGGGAGCGCUCUUG